rnacentral:RNase_P_RNA from 1 species
UCUAUCAGCCGGCUAUCGUACCGUAUUAAAUGCGGUAAGGAAAGUCCGGACAGCAAAGAGCAACACACCGGUUAACAGCCGGCCCCCGCUUAAAAGCGGGGAGAGACAGUGCCACAGAAAAUAACUAUCCCGGCUUGCCGGGGCAAAGGUGAAAACGUGAGGUAAGAGCUCACGACAAAUAUUGGUAACAAUAUUUGUGGGUAAACCUUGUGUGCUGUAAUGCCAUGUAAACCCGGUGUCUUCGAAAGAAGAAAUAAAUGGCUCGUUUAUUAUUUUUGAUUUUUUCAGAAAUAACCGGAAGGGUAGGCAGCAAGAUUGCAACAGUAAUGUUGCAGCCAGAUAAAUGAUAGCCUCCCGGCUUGCCGGGAACAGAAUCCGGCUUAUGGCUGAUAGAUUUU